UACGUAGGUGGCGAACGUUGUCCGGAUUUACUGGGCAUAAAGGGUGCGUAGGUGGCUUGUUAAGUCAGGGGUGAAAGUUUUCGGCCCAACCGGAAAAUGGCCUUUGAUACUGGCGAGCUCGAGUGCGUGAGGGGUAACCGGAACGAGCAGUGUAGCGGUGAAAUGCGUAGAUAUUGCUCGGAAGGCCAACGGCGAAGGCAGGUUACUGGUGCGCAACUGACACUGAGGCACGAAAGCGUGGGGAGCAAACAGG
rnacentral:rRNA from 1 species